GUCCACGCCCUAAACGAUGUCGACUGGUUGUUGGAAGGGUAACCUUUUAGUAACGAAGCUAACGCGUGAAGUCGACCGCCUGGGGAGUACGGUCGCAAGAUUAAAACUCAAAGGAAUUGACGGGGACCCGCACAAGCGGUGGAUGAUGUGGUUUAAUUCGAUGCAACGCGAAAAACCUUACCUACACUUGACAUGUCAGAAAUCCUGCAGAGAUGUGGGAGUGCCGCAAGGAAUCUGAACACAGGUGCUGCAUGGCUGUCGU
rnacentral:rRNA from 1 species